CAAAAUAGUGUCCACAUAAAGAAAAUUAGAAGAAAAAAAAUGGAGUAGGAAGAAAGGGCUCAAUGGUGAAGUUUUGGAUCAUCAUCACUUUUUCCAAAGGAUUUUUGGAUGAUACUCUUAAAUUUUGUAUGAUACCCUUUUGUUUCUCUUUCUUACUCUUAUAUUUUUUGACUAUUUAUUAGUUUUUGUGGUAGACAAUAAUGACUCAAGUAACUCUAUUAUAUAGAUAUAGAUUUACCAAUUAUUUCACUUUCUUUUUAUCUUAUUGAUGAUAUAACAUUUAUUAGUAUACAUUUUUAUCUUUUUUCUUAUUUUAUUUUAUCUUUUAAUAUGAAUAAUUGUUUCUUGUAGAGGAGGAAAAGAGGAUAAAAGAGACUUUUAUUUAUGUUUUUGGUGCAUCAAUAGUAUUCACACCAAUUUAAUAUGAAUAAUUUUUUCGUGUAGAUGAGUUGAAAAGGAUAAAAGAGAUUUAUAUUCGAGAAGCCUAUAAAAUUACAACUCAUGUAAGUAUAUAUUUUUAAGUCUAAUAUUUGCACCAAUUAAAGAUCAACUUUAAUUUUUUUUUAUUUUAUUUUAAAGUUUGUUUAUAUUCGUGCAGUGUUAAUUGUUAUAAAUUGUUAUACAUUUAUUUUUACAUUUACAUUUUCAAUAUUUUCUAGCUAUUUAUCCAUUUUAUAUUUUUCUGAUUUAAUUUAAUUUAUUCAAUUAUUGACUUUACUCAUUUUAAAUUAUAGGUACAACCUUGAAGUUUCACUAUGAAUCAAAAGAAAAUCAUUGUUGGAGACAUUCAAUCAAAACAGAACAACUUGAUGAGUUUAUGAAUAUAUAUACGUCUUAUUUUUACUGAUAUUUUGUCUAAAAAAUGUUAAAUGAUCUACUUAGGUUUCAUGAAAAUGAUAGAAACAAAAUUGUCUGACAUAAAUUUUUUGAAUUUGUCGUAUAAAAAGAAUAUUGAUGCAACUCAACUAAGAAGUUGUCCAUAUAGAUUAUAUUUGUACAUGUAUUAUGGACAUAAACACGGUUGGUUUAGUAGAGUUUAUAUACCGGCAUCUAAUGAUUGUAAAACAAUUUCAUCUAAUAUAAAAUACUACUUACA
rnacentral:lncRNA from 1 species